CCUAAUACAUGCAAGUCGAGCGAACUGAUUAGAAGCUUGCUUCUAUGACGUUAGCGGCGGACGGGUGAGUAACACGUGGGCAACCUGCCUGUAAGACUGGGAUAACUUCGGGAAACCGAAGCUAAUACCGGAUAGGAUCUUCUCCUUCAUGGGAGAUGAUUGAAAGAUGGUUUCGGCUAUCACUUACAGAUGGGCCCGCGGUGCAUUAGCUAGUUGGUGAGGUAACGGCUCACCAAGGCAACGAUGCAUAGCCGACCUGAGAGGGUGAUCGGCCACACUGGGACUGAGACACGGCCCAGACUCCUACGGGAGGCAGCAGUAGGGAAUCUUCCGCAAUGGACGAAAGUCUGACGGAGCAACGCCGCGUGAGUGAUGAAGGCUUUCGGGUCGUAAAACUCUGUUGUUAGGGAAGAACAAGUACAAGAGUAACUGCUUGUACCUUGACGGUACCUAACCAGAAAGCCACGGCUAACUACGUGCCAACAGCG
rnacentral:rRNA from 2 species